GCCUCCACGUUCCGCCCCCGUGCUCACGCCGCGCCCCCGGCUGGGCGGUGAGCAGAGCCAAGAUGGCGGCGGAGUUGGAGUACGAGUCUGUUCUGUGUGUGAAGCCCGACGUCAGCGUCUACCGGAUUCCGCCCCGGGCCUCCAACCGCGGUUACAGGGCAUCUGACUGGAAAUUAGAUCAACCUGAUUGGACUGGUCGUCUCCGAAUCACUUCAAAAGGGAAGAUUGCUUAUAUCAAACUUGAGGAUAAAGUUUCAGGGGAGCUCUUUGCUCAAGCACCAGUAGAACAAUAUCCUGGUAUUGCUGUGGAGACAGUGACAGAUUCCAGCCGCUACUUUGUAAUCCGGAUCCAGGAUGGUACUGGGCGUAGUGCUUUCAUUGGCAUUGGCUUCUCAGAUCGGGGUGAUGCCUUUGACUUUAAUGUCUCUUUGCAAGAUCACUUCAAGUGGGUAAAGCAGGAAUCUGAGAUUUCCAAAGAAUCUCAGGAAAUGGAUAAUCGUCCCAAGUUGGAUCUGGGCUUCAAGGAGGGGCAGACCAUCAAGUUGAGUAUUGGGAACAUCACAACCAAGAAAGGAGGUGCUUCUAGGCCCAAGACUACAGCGGCUGGGGGCCUAAGCUUACUCCCACCCCCGCCUGGAGGCAGAGUCACAAUUCCCCCACCGUCCUCCUCAGUUGCCAUCAGCAAUCAUGUCACUCCACCGCCCGUACCAAAAUCCAGUCAUGGAGGUACUGAUGCAGAUAUCCUUUUAGAUUUGGAUUCUCCUGCUCCUGUAACGACACCAGCACCAGCUCCAGUUUCUGCAAGCAAUGACUUGUGGGGUGACUUUAGCACUGCAUCCAGCUCUGUUCCAAACCAGACACCACAGCCAUCCAACUGGGUCCAGUUCUGAGGAGCACGGCAGGAUGUUAAGGACAGACUUGAAGAAUCAAAAUGACCUUGAGGGCACCCAUCUGUGAGGGGAGCUCGGAACCCCUUCCCUCCCCAGAACCAAAAUUACUGAACGGUUGUUUUCAUAGCUUCUCCAUUGCGUUCAGGCUGGUGUGUCACUCCCCGGUGUUGUUCCUUGCUGUACAGCCAAGAAAGUAUUCUUAUCUCCUGUUCACUGUCAGGGCAGGGGAAUAGUGAGUCUUAUGAUACUUGUGGCUAUUGCAGGGCUCUAAAGGCCAGGGUCUCUUUGGUGGGGAAAUAACCUCCAACAUCUGUAAAAUUUUCUCCAUCUUUAAAUUCUUUAACUUCUUUCAGAAUCAUCUCAUGACCCUUGUGUGCCUCUUUGUGAAGCUCUGUUUAGCAAUUUCAGGGGAGACAAAACCCUCAGAACUUCCUUUUCCAUUAACUGAAGACUCUAAAAAUGGACAGACUGAUCACAGUGUUUACAGAUUCAGAAUUUUGAUAGGGGUAGGUGUGAAGAAAGACCUGUUUCCUGGGUCUCUGCUAUAUAUCCUCCCUCAGGCUUGUCUUAUUCAGUGAACAUCCAGUGCUGGGUGCAGCCCCCUGACCCUCUAGUGCGUUUGCAUGUGUCCUCCUGUGGCAAGAGGGUUGUGUUGGUGGCGCCCCACUCUCCUUUCGUUGACAGUGCAGCAUCUCUGAUCAGCGGGUGUCUCUUGGGUGAAGGAGGUUCAAGGGACUAUGUUUCCCUACUUAUUUUCUAGAGGAGCAGUUACUUUCUUGCAGCUCCAUCUAGUUGCUGCAUUUGAAGCACAGCGUUACUUUGUAAUGGCCCCAUUAUUUGUCCUAAAGUUAAAGGGUUUAGAGUUUUUAACCUAAUUUGUAGAGCAGAGAGGUUGAAAGCACUUAACUCUUGUUCAGUACCCACAUUGCCUUGCUGCCUGGGUAUCUGGCUCCUUUUCAUACACAGUUAUUUUUUCAGUCCACCAGCUCUUCAACAGAAAGCUGCUAUUACAUGUACCAUCGUUUAUGAAGCAAGCUGGAGAGCCAUGACUUUAGCUGUGGCCACCUUUCAUAUCCCAGAACUAUGGUCAGCAUAAAUGAAGGGAAUCAACGCAUGAGAUAGAACUAAAGUGAGAGUCAUAGACUUUGGAAGCCAGAAGGAUCUUGGAGUUCUCAUUCAGUGAUUGUCACAGGAGAUGAAUCAGAAUGAUACGGGUACUUCUUUUUUUUUUCUCUCUCUUUUUUUGUUUUCAAUUUAAAAUAACAUACUGCUCUCUCCAGAGAUUCUGAUACACCUCCCCCAUUCGCCCUCCCAGGGAAGGGCUUGGAUGGCUUCCCCAACCACGGCCUUUCUUAUCAUUACUGAGGUUGUGAGGCACUAUCAUGGAUAAACUUGUAUCCUAAACUGCAGGGGGGUUUUUUGGGUAGAAGAUGCAGAUGAUAAUUUUUCCAGCUCAACCCCCUUGGUUAGACAUUGACAUCUGCCUUCACGGUUGUCAUGUGAGCUUAUUACUCCUCACUUCCUCCAUUCUGAUAACCUUCUAGGUAGUUGGCUUGCCUCCAGCUUUCUCAGCCCUAGUUCAGCUUACGUGUUGACACCAGAAUAACCUUCCUGAAACCAAACCCUGCUCAUGCCCUUUCCUCCCCUACUCAUUGGUUACCUUUAAUAAUUUUCCUUUGCUUACAGAUUAAAGUCCAAAGUACCAUUUCAUCCUCAGCUCUCAGUUUUCCCUUUCACUCAGUCAGCUCCCGCACACUAGUCAUUCUGCAGAUGCCAUCAGCAGCAUGGGCAUUGAGUGCUUGCGAUUCCCUCUGCCUGGAAUUCCUUCCCUUCUCUACCUGCCUGGUGAAAUCCUUCCCAUCCUGGAAAGUGCUGCUUUGUGAAACGUUACUUAUCCCCUCAGUCUGAAAGGUGAUCUCCCUUGUUAUUGGGGGUUGCUGUUGAAAUUCUCACUGGUUUGUGAGCUCUUUGAUAUAAGGACCAUGUCUUCAUUUUUAUCUACUCAGUAUUUUCCUUAUGCCAUAAAUAUAUACUUGUUGAAUUAACAGUGAUUUCAGUGAAGAGGGACCAGAAAUCAGAAAGUUGGGUUUUUCCUUUUUUCACUCAUUCUCAUUUUGAUUGUUCCUAGCUACAGGACAUAAGUAUUCCUUAUAUGCUUUGUUAUAGUUGCAGAAGGUCUCAUUUAUAUGCUCCAGGGUCAGUUAAUAUUUGGGCCCAAGAAAGUAGCAUUGAAGACAAAUUUUACUUUGGUACAUAGACGCUAUGGCCUGGGAAAAGGAAAACUGGAUAUCAUGUCGCGCAGCUGCUGAUAAAUCUGGUAGCUUAGUGUCUGAUCUCAGUUAUCAGAACUGGCUAAGAUUGCACUUGGUUAUAUUUAGCUUUUUUUUGGCUUUUAAAAAAAAUCAUUUCUGUUAUUGCCUCUUAACUGUACAUGAGGAAAAUACAUAUGGUUUGUGACUAGAACUCAUACUCAGGAGCUCCCCAUCCAUCACAUAUUCUCUUGAGAAAGAAAGGAAAAAGGAAGAGGAUUACAUUUACUUGCAAGUCCCUUCAGCCUGGGGAAUGUAUAGGCUUGGUAUGGUUUUCACAGCAACCAUGGUUGAAACCAUGUCGUGUGACGUUUAUUUCAGAAUGAAAAUUGUCAUUUUCAGUCCCUUUUUGAAAGUUACUAAGAUAUGGGGGUGGUGUGUUUUUUAAAAAGCUCUAGUAUACUAAAGUCUACGUCUCAGGAGUGAAAUAAUUGUCCUUUGAGACCUCAUGUUCUGCCCUAUCAAUCUAAGACUAGCGUCAUCCCCUCAGUUACACACAAUGAUGCAUUAAGACCAACCAUGAAGGUUGCUGUUUGCUUUUUAGUAUUUUCUUUUGUCUUACGUGUGUUCUGCCACUGCACCUAACAGUAAAAAAAUGUCUUUGAGGCAAUUUCUGUGAACGCUUUAACUAGCUGCAUAGCAGCAUGGGACCACUAGAGGACGGGCUCCCCCUAGCAACUCUAGCACAGUGGUAGCAAAUACUGCUCAGAUUUCCUGGUGGCAGGGGAGACACCUAAAGACAUGAAUGAAGACUGUCAAGGGACAUUUCAUCUAUGGAGUCUAAACAUGUACCUGAUCCGAAGUUUGUUGGGAAUGUAGAAAAACAGCUGUUUGGGUAGGUGGAAAAUGAAGAACAGAAUAAUACUUUCUUCAGACUUUAAUACUUAAAUAAAUCUUUGAAUAGGGAAUACACUUACUGAGUUUAAUGACCCCCCCCUUCCCCAGUCCCACCAAAAUAGGUGAUUAAUGGGAAGUAAAGAGGAGUGGUUAUGAGCAUGAAUUUGGAAAGAGACAGACUGCCUUGGCACAAAAGUUUACUCUGCCACUUACUGGCUUUUUGACCUUGGAUAAAUUAACCCUUAUUUGCCUUGGUUUCCUCAUAUGCAAAAUGAAGAUAAUAGUUCCUACUUUAUAGAGUUAUUGUCAGAAUAAAAUAAAAAUUUAAAGUGCUUAGAACAAAGCCUGGCAUAUGGUAAAUUCUCUGUUAGUACUGCUUCUACUACUGCUGCUUGGCUGGCUAUCCUAAUUCUGCCUAUUAGGAUUGCAAUAACAUGGUAAGAAUAAGGGCAAAAUGAUGAGAUCCUUUCCUUUUUUUAAAAAAAUUAAUUUUUAUGGGGAUAUAAUUGACAUAUAACAUUGUAAAUGUUUAGGUGUACAAAAUGUGAUACAUUUAUUGCAGUAAUCGGAGUGUUAGCUAACACUUCUGUCAUGUAAUUGUCAUUUCUUUUUUGUGGUGAGAGCAACUCAGAUCUAAUCUCUUAGCAACUUGGAAGUUUGUAAUAUAAUAUUGUCUAUACAGGCAUACCUCAUUUUAUUGAACUUUGCUUUAUUGCACUUCGCAGAUACUAUGCUUUUUACAAAUUGAAGGUUUGUAGCAACACUUCAUCGAGGAAAUCUAUCAGUGCCAUUUUUCAAUAGCGUUUGCUCACUUUGUGUCUCUGUGUCAUGUUCUGGUAAUUCUCACAAUAUUUCAAACCUUUUCAUCAUUAUAUUUGUUAUGGUGAUCUGUGAUCAGUGAUUUUUUUUUUUUUUUUUUUUUAUUGUGGUACGCGGGCCUCUCACCGCCAUGGCCUCUCCCGUUGCGGAGCACCGGCUCCGGACGUGCAGGCUCAGCGGCCAUGGCUCACGGGCCCAGCCGCUCCGCGGCAUGUGGGAUCUUCCCGGACCGGGGCAUGAACCCGUGUCCCCUGCAUCGGCAGGCGGACUCUCAACCACUGCGCCACCAGGGAAGCCCAUCAGUGAUCUUUGACGUUACUACUGUGACUUGCUGCAGGCUCAGAUGAUGGAAAACAUUUUUUAGCAAUAAAGUAUUUUAAAAUUAAGGUAUGUAUGUUGUUUUUCAAGGCAUAAUACUACUGCACACUUAAUAGACUACAGUGUAGUAUAGACAUAACUUCUGUAUGCCCUGGGAAACCAAAAAUUUGUGUGACUUGCUUUAUUGCAAUAUUCGCUUUAUUCUGGUAGUCUAGAACUGGAUCUGUGAUUUCUCCAAGGUAUGUCUAUAACGACUGUACUAUGCAUUAGAUCUCUAGAACUUAUCUACUGGUUGAAAGUUUGCAACCUUAAACUGCAUCGCCCCAAUUCCUCCACCUCCUAGCCUCUGGUAACCACCAGUCUACUCUCCGUUUCUAUGAGUUUGGCUUUUUUAGAUUCCACAUAUAAGUGGUAUCAUAGAAUAUACUAUUUGUCUUUCUCUGACUUUUCUCACCUCGUAUAAUAACCUCAAGGUCUCUCCACGUUAUUGCAAAUGGCAAGAUUUCCUUCUUUCUUAUGGCCAAAUAACAUUUUCUUGCAUAUGUAUACCACAUCUUCUUUAUCCAUUCAUUGCAAAUGGACCCUAUGGUUGUUUCCAUACCUUGCUAUUGUGAAUAAUGCUGCAAUAAACAUGGGAGUGCAUAUAUCUCUUCAAUAUCCUGUUUUCAUUUCCUUUGGAUAUAUACCCGGAAGUUGAAUUGCUGGAUCAUAUAGUAGUUCCCUUUUUAAUCUUUUGAGGAAACUCUGUACUGUUUCCAUAGUGGCUGGACUAGUUUUCAUUCCCUCCAAGAGUGUGCUAGGGUUCCCCUUGAUCCACAUCCUCACCAACACUUGUUAUCUCUUCUUGUCUUCUUGGUGAUAACCAUUCUAAUAGAUGUGAGAUGAUAUCUCACUGUGGUUUUGAUUUGCAUUUCCCUGAUGAUUAGUGAUGUUGAGUGCGUUUGCGUGGGAAUGGGUCCCAAGCAUCAUUCUUGCCAGCCUGGGCCCCAACCCCAGGACUCAGAACAGUGUGAAUUAGAAAUGGUUUCUUUGUGGUCUUGAGUCACACUGAGUCAGUCAACUGCUUGUGACUCUAAAAAAAUGAUCUUUUGGCUAUUUGUAUGUCUUCUUAAGAAAAAUGUCCGUUUAGUUCCUCUGCACAUUUGAAAAAUUGGAUUGUUUUUGUUAUUGAGUUGUAUGAGUUCUUUGUAUAUUUUGGAUAUUAACUUCUUAUCAGAUAUAUGGUUUGCAAAUAUUUUCUCUUAUUCCGUAGGUUGUCUUUUCUUUCUUUCUUUGUUUUUUUGAUUGUGUCUUUUGCUGUGCAGAAGCUUUUUAGUUUGAUGUACUCCCACUUCCUGAUUUUUGCUUUUGUAGCUUGUGCUUUUGGUGUGAUAUCUAAAAAAUUGUGGCUAAGACCGAUGUCAGGGAGCUUCCUCCAUAUGUUUUCUUCUAGGAAUUUUAUGGUAUCACGUGUUAGUUUAAGUCUUUAAUCUAUUUUGAGUUAAUUUUGGGGAGUGGUCUAAGAUAGUGGUCCAAUUUUAUUUUUCUGCAUGUGGUUAUCCAGUUCUUGCAACACAUAGUUUUGUUGAAAAGACUGUCCUUUCUCAUUGAGUGUUCUUGGCUCCCUUGUCAAAUAUUAGUUGACUGUAAAUGCAGGAGUUUAUUUCUGCACCUCUAUUUAGUUGCAUUGAUCUAUGUGUCUCUUUUUCUUUUUUGCGGUAUGCGGGCCUCUCACUGUUGUGGCCUCUCCUGUUGUGGAGCACAGGCUCCGAACGCACAGGCUCAGCGGCCAUGGCUCACGGGCCCAGCCGCUCCGCGGCAUGUGGGAUCUUCCUGGACCGGGGCAUGAACCCGUGUCCCCUGCACCGGCAGGCAGACUCUCAACCACUGCGCCACCAGGGAAGCCCUAUGUGUCUCUUUUUAUGCUAGUUUUUUAAUGUUUUAAUUAUUAUAGCUUUGUAGUAUAAUUUGAAAUAAGGAAGUAUGAUGCCUCCGGCUUUGUUCUUUUUUCUCAUGAUUGCUUUGGUUAUUACUUUUUUGUGGUCUUUUGUAGUUCCACACAAAUCUUAGGAUUAUUUUUUCUAUGUCUGUGAAAAAUGCCAUUGGAAUUUUGAUAGAGGUUAUGUUGAAUCUAUAGCUGGCUUGAGUAGUAUGGACAUUUUAGCAAUAUUAAUUAUUCCUAUCCAUGAACACAGGAUAUAUUUCCUUUUUUUUUUGUUUUUUUUUUUUGCUGUACGCGGACCUCUCACUGCUGUGGCCUCUCCCGUUGCGGAGCACAGGCUCCGGACGCGCAGGCUCAGCGGCCAUGGCUCACAGGCCCAGCUGCUCCGCGGCAUGUGGGAUCUUCCCAGACCGGGGCACGAACCCACGUCCCCUGCAUUGGCAAGCGGACUCUGAACCACUGCGCCACCAGGGAAGCCCUCAGACAAAUUUUUAACUUUUCAAAGACUUGGAUAUGUUAUUUGUGAAGGUGGGAAGAUAAUAAUACAUACUUCAUUUUGUGAAUAUUAUGCAAGUUAACUUCUGUUCAGUACUUAAAACAGUGCCUGGCAUAUCAACAAAUGUGAACUGUCAUUGCUUUAGAGGUAUUUUUUAAGUAGUGCUCCAAGGUUAUUACAGUUAGCAUGAGCUGGUACUCAUAUUCUCCCGGGUGUAUUGCUUGGGUUAUUUACAUUAACUUUGUUUGACUGAAGGAAUUUUUUAAAUCUCUCUCCACAAACUCUCUGUAGCAGUCUAAAUCUUUGUGUGUGUUUUUAAAUAAAGUAUUUCAUUGUUUGAUAAAUCCCUGAAGUUAUUUCCUACUUUGGAAACUAUUGAUAUUGUCUAUCUUCUUCAUUAAUGUGAAGGGCACAUGGUUUUGAGCUGCCAUAACUAGUCUGUAAAACAAGCCAUAUUUGUUUCAUUCCCUUGUUUAUAAUGGCUAUCUUCAUCAAAACGGAGUAUUGAGUAAGAUGCCUGUAUUUAAAUUUUCUAAACCAAUAUGAAUCCUUCUUGGAAGCUAAUUUUAAAAUAUCUUAUGCUUGUUGUGCUUAAUUGACAAUCAUUAAAAUGGAGUUCGUUAGUCUGUAGUGAAUACCUGUUGUCCUCCUUUAAAUGCUGUACAUAUAUACCUCUUUUCCAAUGCAUGCAGAGUCUAUUCCUUCUUUCUAGAAGAUGUACAGAGCUGCCCAGUGACUUGAGUAUGCCAUCGACUUGCUAAUUUGAAAUUUUAUAGCAUUGCAUCAAUUCAUGGAUUUUAAACAUUAUUCUUGGUUGUCUUUUAAAAAUUUUUUUUUGCGGUACGCGGGCCUCUCACUGUUGUGGCCUCUCCCAUUGCGGAGCACAGGCUCCGGACGCGCAGGCUCAGCGGCCAUGGCUCACGGGCCCAGCCUCUCCACGGCAUGUGGGAUCUUCCCGGACCGGGGCAUGAACCCGUGUCCCCUGCAUCGGCAGGCGGACUCUCAACCACUGCGCCACCAGGGAAGCCCAAUUUUCAGGAUUUUUAAAAAGGGAGGGACAGAAUGACUGGUAAUCCUGGUAUUAUUCUCAUAAAUGUUAGUUGGAUAUUAGGUAGUGAAAUAGUUAUGCAAUCUGUUACAGAUGACAUACAUGGUGUAACUAAUUUUCCUUUCAGUUUUCACAUGAGGGGUCACCUGGAAUUGCUGUCUUGUGGGCUGGAGAGCCUUCCAGUCCAACUGCUGUUUUUAAUGACAGCAAG